UCUGCUAUUGAAGAAAUAAAACUUUACGAAACUUCCUUCUUGUUUCUCCGAUAUUGUCAAAAAAAGGAUAUAAAAAUAGACCUUGUACUAAUUAAGAGGUAUGAACUGUCAUCAAGGAUUCCAAUAGAAUUUUGAUUCACAUUUGAUCUUUAGAUAGUUUUGUUCAAAAAACUAUCAAUGUGCAAAAGUAGUAAAGUAUGAGAUGUGGAAUUGUAAAACUACAGCUCUUAUGCAUGACACAAACUAAUCAAAGGCACAUCAAGAUGGCAAAGUGCUAAGAUGAGAUAGAAUUCUUUGAAUCAACUCAAUAGUGUUCCCUGUUUUUUUCAACCUUUGAACCUGACAUAUAAUGUUUUAAAAGAGGCUGAAUUCAGUCAUCCGACUGCGUAAGGAGGUCAUACUUGUUUUC
rnacentral:lncRNA from 1 species